ensembl:lncRNA
AGAGAUCUAUCAAUUACAGUGUUAAGGUUUCCUACUCUAUUGGCUACAGCUGUGGGCUUCUGCGCCUAGAGGUCCCCUUCACCUGUCUGGUGCUUCCUGCUGCGUUCCUUUAUAUUUAAGAGUGAAUCACUAUUCCAAGGACGUGGAAGCAACCUAGAUGUCCAUCAACAGAUGAAUGGAUAAAGAAGUUGUGGCAAGGGCUCUGCUGGUCCCAGGAGCAGCCAGGAGAAGGGAUGGGAUGAAGGAUGUUAGUCACCUUGACGACUCCCUUUAGGCUGUUGAAAAUCAUCAUCACGACAAAGGGAUCCAGAGUCCGCCCACUCCACCGGCAGCUGCGUGCACGGUUUGUUCAGAUAAAUUACUUGCCAAGCUAGAGCUGAAAGCUGAAACAUGUGACUAUUCAAAAAACAGAUGCAAAAGGACAACAGAGGUGAAUGAGAACUACUCAAAGUCCAAACCUUGGCGGUUCUCUUUCUUCUGGAAGAACAACCAACAACUGUCGUUAGACAUUCACCAAGUCAUUUUGCACGAUCCAAUUAAAGAACAAGUACUGGUUUGAAAUGGUUAAAACAUAACCGUAAGAGGGAGAUGAAAGCAAAGUUCAAGGGAGCCUAUGCGUCUCCCUUGUCUUCCUCGAAGGCGUCCUAGACUGGGGUCUUGCGGGAAGCGCCACUCGGGCUGCGCACGUGGGGCGGCUCUUCACGCGAGCAUCUUCCUUAGAGACCGCAAUGGAAAGUCCACCUCGGGUCCUUCUCUCCCAACAUUUCAAGUUCCAACAUAUUUCUCCCCACCUUGCCCUCCCAAUACAAUUUCGGCCAGUUCCUAAUCAACUCCAGUCUCAUCAGUCGUUCUUCUCUGCCUCCGAGUAGGGAGAGAAGAGAAUAGCAGGUGCUUUUCCUCUGGGCGCACCCCGCUCCCACAGACCCCGCGCCGAACUCGGGAAAGUUGGGGUGGCCGCCUCCCUUCCCGGGCUCGGCGGCUUCUUCCAGGAGGGGCGCGGAUGGGGUGUAGAAAGCGAGCUCGCAGGGAAAGUCCUGCAGCGGAAACAUCCCUGGCUGCCCCUGGGCGCAGAGAGGCACAGGUGCUUUUUCUCCGACGUCCGAGAGCCGCGCCCGCUGCGCCGGGCCCACGAUCGCGCCCCCUGCGCGGGCUCCCGCUC